UCAGAUUGAACGCUGGCGGCAUGUCUUUACACAUGCAAGUCGAACGGCAGCAUGAUCUAGCUUGCUAGAUUGAUGGCGAGUGGCGAACGGGUGAGUAAUACAUCGGAACGUGCCCUGUAGUGGGGGAUAACUAGUCGAAAGAUUAGCUAAUACCGCAUACGACCUGAGGGUGAAAGUGGGGGACCGCAAGGCCUCAUGCUAUAGGAGCGGCCGAUGUCUGAUUAGCUAGUUGGUGGGGUAAAGGCCCACCAAGGCGACGAUCAGUAGCUGGUCUGAGAGGACGAUCAGCCACACUGGGACUGAGACACGGCCCAGACUCCUACGGGAGGCAGCAGUGGGGAAUUUUGGACAAUGGGGGCAACCCUGAUCCAGCAAUGCCGCGUGUGUGAAGAAGGCCUUCGGGUUGUAAAGCACUUUUGUCCGGAAAGAAAUCGCACCUGAUAAUACCGGGUGUGGAUGACGGUACCGGAAGAAUAAGGACCGGCUAACUACGUGCCAGCAGCCGCGGUAAUACGUAGGGUCCAAGCGUUAAUCGGAAUUACUGGGCGUAAAGCGUGCGCAGGCGGUUGUGCAAGACCGAUGUGAAAUCCCCGGGCUUAACCUGGGAAUUGCAUUGGUGACUGCACGGCUAGAGUGUGUCAGAGGGGGGUAGAAUUCCACGUGUAGCAGUGAAAUGCGUAGAGAUGUGGAGGAAUACCGAUGGCGAAGGCAGCCCCCUGGGAUAACACUGACGCUCAUGCACGAAAGCGUGGGGAGCAAACAGGAUUAGAUACCCUGGUAGUCCACGCCCUAAACGAUGUCAACUAGUUGUUGGGGAUUCAUUUCCUUAGUAACGUAGCUAACGCGUGAAGUGACCGCCUGGAGUACUCCACUUG
rnacentral:rRNA from 2 species